UGUCUGGUCCAGACUCAAUUAUUUAUAGACCGCCCUCACAUAGCUGGAAUAUUGCCGAGUGUGGUGCAACAAACCCAAACCCAUCCUGUACUCCCAAUGAAUAUAUGUGAAAUAAGUAACUAGUAUGCAAUCCUUUUCCAGAAAUUUCUAUGAAACUAGAGUCAGGGCUGAUGACCAUACCUUAGUUGUACAGAUCAAUACACGGGAUCACACUGCGUAUAUUUCUGAUAAGCUGGUUGGACUGUAUGUAAGCUAUGAGCUCUAAAGAUGUUAUCUAAGAUUGUUUGGGAGUGAACGUCUAUUUUUGUAUGAGCUGUGUGACUGAAUGGGUAUAUAAGAAGACUGUCAACUAAAAUUCAGGGCAGUCAGUGAGAAUUACUUGGAGGGAUUUUGUUUUUGGUGUGGCUUUCCAAACUACUGGCGUAAAAGGCAUUUAAAUAUUGUUUAUGUUGAGAUGCUUGUACUUUGACCAUGUAUGUAUUAUCUGUAUAGUUACAAGUUAUUAUAUGUCAAAUGUAAAUGUUAUGAAUAAUAGGAAAAAAGAUGUAAAUGUUAUGAAUAAUAGGAAAAAUUAGCAUUUUGUAAAGGAAACAAAGCAACUUUAUGCGCAAGGACUGUUGUUUGGGAUAAAUAGCGGCAAUAUAAGUAUGGUUACUGUCAGGAAUGAGAUGGACGGAUCAUCACGUACCUGUCUUAAUAACGUUGUACCCAUGUCACAGUUAACUGAUAGACAGUGUAAGACAAUAUCUGGUGUAGGCACCCCGUACAUGGAUCACAUCCACAAGACGUCUCCUCAACCUCAAAAUCAACUGCCUGAUCCUCAACUGAGGGAUGUGAUGCAAUGUCUGAGUCAUUUCUUGCUGAUUCUGCACUGGAUGGUCCCUUUCUCUGACUCUACGUCCCAACUGAUCGCAUAGAUGCCCGAUUGUAUUCAGGUCUAGGCUUCAACUUGGCCAAAAGUCUCAAAGGCGUUGUUCUGGAGAUGGUCAGUCACAGGUUGUGCUCAGUGGGGUCGGGAAUUGUGCGUGGCAAGUGCUUGGUUUUCAAAAUAAGGCAAAACAAUGUCGUUGUAUCUUGGUUCCUUCGUCCAUUUCAUGUCCCCUGAACUGUGACCUCCCCAAAUCAAGUUUUCAACCAAGGAGCAACAUCUCCAUACCACCACUGAGCACCCACCACAUGUCACUAUUUCCCGGAUGUUGCGCUGAUAAGAUAUUUUCCCUCACCUCCAAACACGAGUCCUACCACCAGUGAGGUGCAAACCCGACUCUCGACAAUGAAUUCUCCUCCAUGGCCUCUCUUCCCAAUGUGCUCGAGCCUUGACACCAGGCUAAACGGUCCCGAAUGUGUUGGGGUGAGAAGAGUGAACAUCUUCUAGGUAUUCUGGCACUUAAUCCUUAAUUCAGUCGACGCCUGAUGGCGCUAAGGGACACUCUGUUGUGAGCGUGUCAGUGAUGACGAAGAACAUUGCAAGUUGAAUUUGGCCUUGCGUACAAGGAUCCUGUCCUCUAUGGCACUGGUCAUGGACGUCCUGAUCUCGUCAAGCCCAGCCAACCUGUGUUUUCUGAUGAGUCGAUUACAGUAUGAUUAAUGUUCAUCAUGGUGGAAAUAGCCCGAAAUGAGAUGCCAGUUUAGUGCAUGCCAAUAAUUUGCCAUGUUUGAUUUGCUGAGAUAGUACGCUUAGGCAUUUCAGUUACAAUCAUUCCAAAGACAGACUUUCAAAUUGGAAGAACUUGCAUUCAAAAUUAAUAGCAGUAAAAACUCAUGAACGUUCUGUCAUCAACCAUGAAAGUCUCCGUAGAGACCCUUCAGGUGUGCAUACGGCUCACAUAAACACACGCACAAGGUUGGGCAUUUUAUGUGGCUACCAUUCUACAGGCAGGUGUGUCAACACACAGUGUACCAUUUGCAAUUACACUUCAAAUUUGGUGGUGCAAUAUUUUUUGACGAGGUGUAUAUGUGUGUCGUAAGAGAACAGUAUACGGAUGUAGGGAUUUAUGAUGUGUAUUGUAUAUUCAUUGUGAAUGAAGUUAUUACAAUCUUAAAUAUAUCAUAAAUUUGAUUUUGCCGUGUUGUGUCAGUCGUGUUCGUAUUUAAAACAGCCACCACAAUAUCAUUAUGUACCUUUACUUUUGAUAUUGAAAUUUCUUAUUCUGAGUAGUACUUGCAUAAUGUUUUUGAAUAACUGUGUGUUUUUUUUAGUUAUGAACACACAAAUUGAAUGUAAAAUAUGUGUUUUGUUUAGUUAUUCUUACUGUAGUACAUGCUUGAUGUAUGUUUAACAACGUUGUGUACCUAUUCUGAGCAUGCUCCCAUGCUAAUCUGUAUGUAGGAUAACCGUACGUGUACCAUUCUGAGUAUAUAAUGCUCGAUGUAAGGUAAAGUUACUGGUAUGUAGACUGACGUGUACACGUUUGUUAUGAAGUGUCGGGGACCCAGAGGGGCCUCCUACCUGCAUGUAGUCUUAGACAAGGGCAUUGGUGUUGUGAUGAUGCUGUGAAGCCUGAUCCCAGGACGAUAGGCGGCCAUGUGCAUGAAGUGGUGAAACCUGGAUUUGAUAUAGGACUGGUGUGAGGCUCACGUGAAUAAUGAAAGAUGUACACUUUCAGUACAGUGAUGAUGGAAAGAAUACAUUGUGAGAAGUGGCUCAGUACACACGGUGUAGAUAAUAGCGUGUACAUGUGUUGACAUUCUUAUACCAUGCAUUGCAGGUAUCCAUGUAUCGAUGUUGAUGCAUGAUGUAUUGAUGUAUUAGUAGGUCUUGUGUAGGUGGAGUAUUAGUGUAUAAGUCAGUAGUUUUAAGUAUUAAAGUAACAUUAAGUCUUUUAAGAGUGAGAGAAAUAGAGUGAGUCUGGAGUGUGUUAAAUAGGGUGAUAGUUGGAAGCUACUUGAGUUAGUGUGAGUGAUGGAGUGACAGAAUAAGUGUGGAGUGUGUGAAAUAGUGUGGUAGUUGGAAGCUAGUUGGGUUAGUGUGAGUGAUGGGUGGAGUGUGUGAAAUAGGGUGAUAGUUGGAAGCUACUUGAGUGAUGGAGUGACAGAAUAAGUGUGGAGUGUGUGAAAUAGGGUGAUAGUUGGAAGCUACUUGAUGGAGUGACAGAAUAUGUGUGGAGUGUGUGAAAUAGUGUGUUAGUUGGAAGCUAGUUGGGUUAGUGUGAGUGAUAGGUGGAGUGUGUGAAAUAGGGUGAUAGUUGGAAGCUACUUGAGUAAGUGAGUGAUGGAGUGACAGAAUAAGUGUGGAGUGUGUGAAAUAGGGUGAUAGUUGGAAGCUACUUGAGUGAUGGAGUGACAGAAUAAGUGUGGAGUGUGUAAAAUAGGGUGAUUGUUGGAAGCUAGUUGAGUUAGUGUGAGUGAUAGUACCAGAAUGAGUGUGGAGUGUGAAAUAGUGGCAGUUUGUUGAAAGAUAUCAAGUAAUUUGUUAUGCUUUUUAUUAUUGUAUUUCUUAACUGUAUCUAAUAAACUUACACUUAAUCCA
rnacentral:lncRNA from 1 species